GCUCUCUGCAAGGUUUUGUACAUAUUCCCUGUCAUACGAACAUACUUUUCUGACUCAAAUAAGAUUCCCUCAACGUUGCUCUGAUCGCCAAAAGAUUUCAAAUGGGAAUUGUGGUUAUCAUGAGGGUGACUGCAGUCGUUGUCUUAAUGCCUGAAAGGAAUAAUUUGACCACGAGAACGGUGUGAACCUCAAAACCCCCUCUAACCGGCUGAAGAAGAGCGACAAAGGAGUGGGACAGGAGUACAUGUGAAGUAAGCAUGAAGAGAGAUCCGUUCCCAAACCUCUCUCAUAUUGCUGGUAUGCUGGUCAACAAGGGUGUGACAUUGAAAUUGGAACAUUAUCAUGGGCCAUCCACUUGAACUAUGAAGUUGGCUGAAGAAGACUAUGAAGAGAUGCCAGAAGAUUGAGUACCUGAAGGGGGUGGGGUUUGUCAACUAUGCCCAAAAUUGGGGUAUUAAGUUGAUUGUAGAGGUAUACACACUGAUAAAUUUAGUUAUUUAGAUUAAUAAUGCAUUGGGAUACUGAUCUAUGGUUAUAAUCGUGAUAAGAAAGUGAAUACUAUAAUUAUGGAUAAUUAUGCUAUAUGAUAAUAUAAAUAUACAUUCUGCCAGUGUCGAUGUGCUAAAUUGAAGGUUUUUAACUUUGAGUAAUAGGACCAAUCACUGAAGCAUUGUCAUUCUAAUUUUGGGUUGGAUAAUUAAUUGGGUAUUGAUUAUGAUUUGGAAACUGAAAGAUUUUUGAAAACUGACCAAUUGAUUUGGGUAUGUUCUUAGUUAAUAACUAUAUGAGUGAAGCAAUGAAUGUAUUAUGAAUUGAUUGUUUUGAUUGAUGCUAUGCUAAUUGUGACAUGGGUAAAGAAGUUGUGUACUAAAGAUUUUGACACUAUUCUCAGCAUGCCCUGGUGAAUGGAGAGGGUGCACUCUGACCCGGAGAUCCUGAGAGUGAACCUCAUCCUAAUCCAUUACCAAAUUACAUUUUCUAAAUGUCCACCAUGCUGACCCUUCUUAUUGUGCCAGGUGACAGUGUGACGAUUGUCCUGUGUGUUGUAAUGAAGCUUGCGUGCAAUGUGACAAAGAGAUGAUUGUCCUAUUU